GCGUUCUGGUGCGAGGGGCUGCAGCCCCUCAUGGAGGCUGCACUGUACAAGGAGGAGACAGGGCUGUGGGCGAGCCCCAAAGUUUCUGCAGGAUCACCCCUGAGGGCCGCUGCCACAGGCUGGUGUGAAGAGUGUCUGGUGGUCAGAGGCAGUCACUGCGUGCGCCUCCUCACCCAAAGUGUCAGCCUCUGCGUGCAUGGUGGUCAGAGGCCACUUUUUGCAAUGUGAUACCCUUUCAUCAUCCUGUUGUUUCUUUACCACCAAAGAAAGCCUUCACUAGAUGUGUUCCUUGGACUUUCGACUUUCCAGCCUCAGAAACUGUAUGGCUGGCUGUUGCCCCAGUGAUCACCUUGCAACAGGGUCUGUAGCUGACCAGGGAGUCACAGCCAUAGGUUUUCUGCAGCUGGACACAA